GGGGUCGACUGGAAUUGACAGUAUGACAAAUUUUAUUUUUGCAUGUCGGGUGAAGUAAACAUCCGUGACUAAAUACAAAUUUUUAUAAACGGCGAACGUAAAUACGAUUACGCUAUGGCAGUUUAAAUUCAAAGAAUUUAAAUAACCACAUCAUUUUUAGCUUUGAUCUUCAGUUAAUUAUAUGAUGUCAUAAGAGGAUCUCACAUAUAUUCUUCUCUAUAAUUAUAUAUGGAAAUUUAAAUAGAUAAGGUUAGAAGUUGGUUGAUAUUUUCCUGCUCUUUCUCGAAAAUUAAAAAUUAUCUAAGCGUGUAGACGGAAUAUUAUUUCCAUAUCUGGACGCGGGUUCGAAUCCCGCCGACUCCACAA
rnacentral:tmRNA from 1 species